rnacentral:rRNA from 1 species
UAGCUUGCUACCUGACCUAGCGGCGGACGGGUGAGUAAUGCUUAGGAAUCUGCCUAUUAGUGGGGGACAACAUUCCGAAAGGAAUGCUAAUACCGCAUACGCCCUACGGGGGAAAGCAGGGGAUCUUCGGACCUUGCGCUAAUAGAUGAGCCUAAGUCAGAUUAGCUAGUUGGUGGGGUAAAGGCCUACCAAGGCGACGAUCUGUAGCGGGUCUGAGAGGAUGAUCCGCCACACUGGGACUGAGACACGGCCCAGACUCCUACGGGAGGCAGCAGUGGGGAAUAUUGGACAAUGGGCGAAAGCCUGAUCCAGCCAUGCCGCGUGUGUGAAGAAGGCCUUUUGGUUGUAAAGCACUUUAAGCGAGGAGGAGGCUACUUGGAUUAAUACUCUAGGAUAGUGGACGUUACUCGCAGAAUAAGCACCGGCUAACUCUGUGCCAGCAGCCGCGGUAAUACAGAGGGUGCGAGCGUUAAUCGGAUUUACUGGGCGUAAAGCGUGCGUAGGCGGCUUCUUAAGUCGGAUGUGAAAUCCCUGAGCUUAACUUAGGAAUUGCAUUCGAUACUGGGAAGCUAGAGUAUGGGAGAGGAUGGUAGAAUUCCAGGUGUAGCGGUGAAAUGCGUAGAGAUCUGGAGGAAUACCGAUGGCGAAGGCAGCCAUCUGGCCUAAUACUGACGCUGAGGUACGAAAGCAUGGGGAGCAAACAGGAUUAGAUACCCUGGUAGUCCAUGCCGUAAACGAUGUCUACUAGCCGUUGGGGCCUUUGAGGCUUUAGUGGCGCAGCUAACGCGAUAAGUAGACCGCCUGGGGAGUACGGUCGCAAGACUAAAACUCAAAUGAAUUGACGGGGGCCCGCACAAGCGGUGGAGCAUGUGGUUUAAUUCGAUGCAACGCGAAGAACCUUACCUGGUCUUGACAUAGUAAGAACUUUCCAGAGAUGGAUUGGUGCCUUCGGGAACUUACAUACAGGUGCUGCAUGGCUGUCGUCAGCUCGUGUCGUGAGAUGUUGGGUUAAGUCCCGCAACGAGCGCAACCCUUGUCUCUAGUUGCUACGAAAGGGCACUCUAGAGAGACUGCCGGUGACAAACCGGAGGAAGGUGGGGAUGACGUCAAGUCCUCAUGGCCCUUAUGGGUAGGGCUUCACACGUCAUACAAUGGUGCAUACAGAGGGUUGCCAAGCCGCGAGGUGGAGCUAAUCCCAGAAAAUGCAUCGUAGUCCGGAUCGUAGUCUGCAACUCGACUACGGAAGCUGG